GUGCUUGCUUCAGCAGCACAUAUACUAAAAUUGGAACAAUACAGAGAAGAUUAGCACGGUCCCUGCACAAAGAUGACACAUGAAUUUGUGAAGCAUUCCAUAUUUAG
rnacentral:snRNA from 1 species